rnacentral:rRNA from 1 species
UACGAAGGGGGCCAGCGUUGCUCGGAAUCACUGGGCGUAAAGGGUGCGUAGGCGGGGCUUUAAGUCAGGGGGGAAAUCCUGGAGCUCAACUCCAGAACUGCCUUUGAUACUGAAGAUCUUGAGUCCGGGAGAGGUGAGUGGAACUGCGAGUGUAGAGGUGAAAUUCGUAGAUAUUCGCAAGAACACCAGUGGCGAAGGCGGCUCACUGGCCCGGUACUGACGCUGAGGCACGAAAGCGUGGGGAGCAAACAGG